rfam:Gossypium raimondii Chr04_contig_1339, whole genome shotgun sequence.
UAUUAAAAAUUUCAUACAUUUUUACAGUUAAAACUAAUGUAGCUAACGAAAUAAUUAAACAAUGACAAGUGACGUGCCACGUGUACCUCAUACUGAUAUACAAUAACCAAUAUUUAACAGUAAAAAUGGAUAGAAUUAUUAACA